UACGUAGGGGGCAAGCGUUGUCCGGAUUUAUUGGGCGUAAAGAGCGUGUAGGCGGCUUGGUAGGUCCGCUGUGAAAACUCGAGGCUCAACCUCGAGAUGUCGGCGGAAACCACUUGGCUAGAGUCCGGAAGAGGAGAGUGGAAUUCCCGGUGUAGCGGUGAAAUGCGCAGAUAUCGGGAGGAACACCAGUGGCGAAGGCGACUACCUGGCCUGUUCUUGACGCUGAGGCGCGAAAGCUAGGGGAGCAAACGGG
rnacentral:rRNA from 1 species